rnacentral:rRNA from 1 species
GACGAACCGUGCGAACGUUGUUCGGAAUCACUGGGCUUAAAGGGCGCGUAGGCGGGUGUGCAAGUCUGUGGUGAAAGCCUCCAGCUUAACUGGAGAAGUGCCAUGGAUACUGCACAUCUUGAGGAGGGUAGGGGCAUCUGGAACGGUCGGUGGAGCGGUGAAAUGCGUUGAUAUCGACCGGAACUCCGGUGGCGAAGGCGAGGUGCUGGACCCUUUCUGACGCUGAGGCGCGAAAGCCAGGGGAGCAAACGGG